AUACGAAGGGGGCUAGCGUUGUUCGGAAUUACUGGGCGUAAAGCGUACGUAGGCGGAUCGGAAAGUAAGGGGUGAAAUCCCAGGGCUCAACCCUGGAACUGCCUCUUAAACUCCCGGUCUUGAGUUCGAGAGAGGUGAGUGGAAUUCCUAGUGUAGAGGUGAAAUUCGUAGAUAUUAGGAGGAACACCAGUGGCGAAGGCGGCUCACUGGCUCGAUACUGACGCUGAGGUACGAAAGUGUGGGGAGCAAACAGGAUUAGAAACCCCAGUAGUCC
rnacentral:rRNA from 1 species